rnacentral:rRNA from 1 species
UGAAUGUCACGCAGGCAGAUUCAUUUUCGGCCCCGAAUACAUUAGCAUGGGAUAAUGGAAUAGGACCCUGUCCUCCUAUUUUCAGUUGGUUUUGGCAGCGCGAGGACUAGGGUAAUGAUUAAUAGGGAUAGUUGGGGGCAUUAAUAUUUAAUUGUCAGAGGUGAAAUUCUUGGAUUUAUGAAAGAUUAACUUCUGCGAAAGCAUCUGCCAAGGAUGUUUUCAUUAAUCAAGAACGAAAGUUAGGGGAUCGAAGACGAUCAGAUACCGUCGUAGUCUUAACCAUAAACGAUGCCGACCAGCGAUUAGGAGACGUUGAAUACAAAACACCACCAUCGGCGCGAUCGGCCUUGGCGUCUUCGUGUUCACGCACGACAGGCGCGAGGACGGUUUAGCCCGGUGGCACCGGUGAAUGACUCCCCUAGCAGCUUGUGAGAAAAA